rnacentral:rRNA from 1 species
CCCUUAGAUGUUCUGGGCUGCACGCGUGCUACACUGAUUAUUUCAACAAGUGUUUUAACUGGAGAGUUUGCGUAAUCCUGAAAUGCUAUCGUGAUGGGAGUAGAGUAUUGUAUUUGUUAAUCUUUAACGAGGAAUUCCUAGUAAGUGUAGGUUUAUAAGUUGUUCUGAUUACGUCCCUGCCCUUUGUACACACCGCCCGUCGCUCCUACCGAUUGAUUGAUCCGGUGAAUUACAUAGAAUUUUGCGUUUUACAUGACAGAAGAUGAAGUGUUUUAAACCUUAUCAUUUAGAGGAAGGAGAAGUCGUAACA